UUGGGGAUUAUAUCACACUCAGUGAUCAUCGGGCUAUCGUUGGGUGUUUCUCAGAGCCCGUGUACCAUCAAGCCUUUGGUUGCUGCCCUCUCCUUCCACCAGUUUUUCGAGGGUUUCGCGCUAGGUGACUGCAUUUCCCAGGCCCGGCUGAAGGGUCUCUCUACGCUCUUGAUGGCCUUCUUCUUUGCCAUCACAACACCCACAGGGAUCGCCGUGGGGGUGGCCAUGGCGUCAUUCUACGACCCAUACAGCCCCAGGGCGUUGGUGGUGGAGGGCAUUCUUGAUUCCAUGUCAGCUGGUAUACUGAUCUAUAUGGCACUUGUGGAUCUCAUCGCGGCUGAUUUCCUUGGCCAGAAGAUGAGCAGC
rnacentral:rRNA from 1 species